rnacentral:rRNA from 1 species
UGCAAAAUAUCAAUCUUUAUUCAAAACUUUAAAGAAAAUCCUCACUACACACAGUAUUUUCCAAAAAAUUACUAAAUAUAAUCAACCGCAAGGACCCACCAUUAAGCUAUCUCAAGAAAUGUUAAUCUCAUGUCCCUCUUGCAUCAUGGAGAAGCAACAAAAAUAUAGAGAGCUACAUUCCCGAAUGAUUAUGAGCUACUAAUUCUUCAAAAUCAAUGUGUCAUAAUUGAUAAAGUAACCUUUAGUAGAAGUAACAAGCCUUUCAUAUAAUCGUAUAGCUGGUUUUUCUUUAAAAGCAUCAAAGUGCUAGCCCAUAGUUCCAAAUUUCAAGACCCUAAGCUAUGAGGCCUAUCCUACUGAGGAUUAGCUCAAUAGGUUCUCAAACAAUACUCUACCACUUAAUUUCAAUAGUAGGCUUAAAAACAGCCAUCCAACAACGUUUUAGUUAAUUAUACUCACCACUAAAUAUUUAUUACUCAUUCAUUUUUAAAUUAAAGAAAUUUAACAAAAAAUUCCCUUUGUUAUUAAACAGGCAUUCUAUUAGUAUUAAAUUUCCGUCAUUAUUCAAUAAACCUUAAAAUUACUGAAUCAAGACAUCUCUAGCAUCCAAAAUAUGCAAAGCGAACUCGGCAAUGUUAGUUCCCUGCCUGUUUACCAAAAACAUCGUCUUUUGAAAACCUCUAAUAAAAGAUAAUGCCUGCCCAGUGAAAUUUUAAACGGCCGCGUUAGCGUGAGCGUGCUAAGGUAGCGUAAUAAUUAGCCUUUUAAUUGGAGGCCAGUGAAUGGCAAGACUAGGAACACCUUUACUUUGCAUACCAAAAAAACUUUUCGUCUAAGUGAAAAGACUUAGAUAGCAAAGGUAGACGAAAAGACCCCGCGGAACUUUACCUUUUCCUGUACCUAUGUUUAUACACUUAAGGGUACUCAAGGUUUGAUUGGGGCAAUCUCGGAACCAAUAAAGCUUCCGAUUUUAACAAAAUCCUAUAUAAAAUUCACUAAGGACUAAAAAGAAGUUACCCCGGGGAUAACAGCGUAAUCCAACUUAAGAGUACAUAUCGAAAGUUGGGUUUGCGACCUCGAUGUUGGCUUAAGGAUAUCCACAUUAGUGCAACCGCUAUGACAGGAUAGUCUGUUCGACUAUUAUACCCUUACACGAGCUGAGUUAAGACCGGCGCAAGCUAGGUUGGUUUCUAUCUCCUUUACUUUAAAUAUCUUCUUGACUGUACGAAAGGACCCCAAGAGAUGCAUCUCAACAAAAGCAUUUUACCUAAAUUAAUAUAUUCUUCC